AUGGUGACUCCAAACUGGCUUCAAGGCCAGACCAAAACCUCAUCUCUGGAUAUUCCAGCUCUCAAGCGUUUGAAAUCUGGGGCCCAUGUUGGCUCUGAAUUGUGCAGUUUUGCCCCUUUGAGUCAUGAGGCUAUGCGGGAUUGGCAAAAGAAUGAGGUGGAAAAAGCUUGCAUAUUAUUUCAUAAAAAUCCAGCAACACUAAAUCAGGAAGCCAUAGCGUACAAGAGGGACAGCCCAGCACAUUCCUGCUUUACACAUCUGCAACUGUUUGAACACCCAUCAAGCUUAACCAAAGACUGAAACAGAUGCUGGUUACACUCAGCAGCACAAUAAAAAUUCAAGAACUUGCA
rnacentral:lncRNA from 1 species